GACGAACCCGUGCAAACGUUGUUCGGAAUCACUGGGCUUAAAGGGCGCGUAGGCGGGUCAGCAAGUCCGGGGUGAAAUCUUUCGGCUCAACCGGAAAAGUGCCUUGGAUACUGCUGGUCUCGAGGGAGGUAGGGGUAUGUGGAACUUCCGGUGGAGCGGUGAAAUGCGUUGAUAUCGGAAGGAACGCCGGUGGCGAAAGCGACGUACUGGACCUCUUCUGACGCUGAGGCGCGAAAGCUAGGGGAGCAAACGGGAUUAGAAACCCUUGUAGU
rnacentral:rRNA from 1 species